rnacentral:rRNA from 1 species
GAUGAACGCUGGCGGCGUGCUUAACACAUGCAAGUCGAACGGAAAGGCUCCUGCUUGCAGGGGUACUCGAGUGGCGAACGGGUGAGUAACACGUGGGUGAUCUGCCCUGCACUUCGGGAUAAGCCUUGGAAACUGGGUCUAAUACCGGAUAGGACGAUGGUUUGGAUGCCAUUGUGGACAGUUUUUCGGUGUGGGAUGAGCUCGCGGCCUAUCAGCUUGUUGGUGGGGUAAUGGCUUACCAAGGCGUCGACGGGUAGCCGGCCUGAGAGGGUGUACGGACAAAUUGGGACUGAGAUACGGCCCAGACGACAACGGGAGGCAGCAGUGGGGAAUAUUGAACAAUGGGGGCAAGCCUGAUGAAGCGAAGCCGCGUGGGGGAUGACGGCCUUCGGGUUGUAAACUCCUUUCGCUAGGGACGAAGCGAAAGUGACGGUACCUGGAGAAGAAGCACCGGCUAACUACGUG